UUUUUUUUUGUACAUUGCAAAGGCUGUUCAUAUACCUCUUUACCUCAGGGUAACGUUCAUUUACGUUUUCUGUCCUACCCAAACUUGCCCCCCUCCCCCCACAAAAGAAAGUAAACAAAAAAACUAGUCAAAGCUUUGUGUUUCACAGUGGGCAGUAUCUCAGCGCCAACAAACCAACCAACCAACUCAAUUUCUGCUUCUAUUUAAAAUGUUUUAAUUUAAUUUAUUAUUUAAAAAAAAUAUAUGUCCAUGAACAUCAAGUGCACUGGCUUGGGUUACUGCCUCUCUCUUUCCUGCAUCUUCCUGACAUGCCUGAUAAACUCAGGUUUCUUUAACACAUGCCAACUGUUUUACUUUAUUUUCAAUUGUGUAAAACUUUGGCCACAUUCAUCUCUUUAAAUAGCUUUUAAUUUAAAAACAAACGAAAAAUCUGCUAAGUGUUUUAAAUCUUUUCCUUGUAUUAUGAGGGUUCAGGGGUGUGCGCAUGGGGAGGGGACGUGGGAGAUGGAAGGCUAUCUUCUCCCACUUUUUUUUUUUUGAGGGGUGGAAGAAAGAAGGCGAACUUCAUGGAUUCAUUUGGUGCUUUGAGAAAAUCGUCCCAGCCAAUCCAGCGUCAUCACCCUAAUGGCUGGGGUGAAGAUGGAAACCAUGUUGUUCAGGAUUUUAAAAAAAUGGAGGGGCUGAAUUUGAAAAGGGAAUUAACAGAAUAACACUCAUCCUUCUACCAGGCAGCAGACAGGACUAAUUCCCAGAUGGAAAAACAAAAAACAAACCUACUCUAAACUGAAAUUGAGAUAUUCACAAAUAAAUUUGGAGGCUAAUUUGCCUGGUUUUUGUUUUGUAUUUUUAAUCACACUGGUCACUCAGCCACCUUGGGUAGAAGCAUCUUUUAAGUACCACGGUUCUGCUAUUCCUGGGGUUGGCUUCCAAGAUGAGAAUUCUUAAUGGACACAAAUGUGCCAACUUACGACUGAAGAAAAAUCAUUUGCUCUGUGCACUCUAUUUAGGAUUGAACUAAAUUUGGUUAGUCACAUUAACAUCUGGGGAAAAAAUCAUAAGGUGGAAGUUAAGGCUUCCCCAACCCCAAUGCCAUUUGCCAAUGCCAGGGAAAACCAGGUGGAGUACCUGGUCCCCUGCCUUAGCCCUAACACCACCCUAUAGCAUCUGAUCUGCCAGAGAGGGAGGAUCUAAUCUUUUUUUUUUUCUUUCGAGUGGGCAGGAAAUGAGAGCACCCAAACACCCCAUAUUCCAAAUCCUGAGAGGUGGGAAAAAUUCAAGGAAAUGAAUUAAAAUUUGGGGGAAGGGGAGGGAUAGAAAUUGCACUAUUACCAAGCAAUAUCAUUUUAAAAAAAAGUUUCAGAAGAG
rnacentral:lncRNA from 1 species